GAUGAACGCUGGCGGCGUGCCUAAUACAUGCAAGUCGAGCGAACAGACGAGGAGCUUGCUCCUCUGACGUUAGCGGCGGACGGGUGAGUAACACGUGGAUAACCUACCUAUAAGACUGGGAUAACUUCGGGAAACCGGAGCUAAUACCGGAUAACAUGUUGAACCGCAUGGUUCAACAGUGAAAGACGGUUUUGCUGUCACUUAUAGAUGGAUCCGCGUCGCAUUAGCUAGUUGGUAAGGUAACGGCUUACCAAGGCAACGAUGCGUAGCCGACCUGAGAGGGUGAUCGGCCACACUGGAACUGAGACACGGUCCAGACUCCUACGGGAGGCAGCAGUAGGGAAUCUUCCGCAAUGGGCGAAAGCCUGACGGAGCAACGCCGCGUGAGUGAAGAAGGUCUUCGGAUCGUAAAACUCUGUUAUUAGGGAAGAACAAAUGUGUAAAUAACUAUGCACGUCUUGACGGUACCUAAUCAGAAAGCCACGGCUAACUACGUG
rnacentral:rRNA from 1 species